UUUUAUUCAUCGAUAUCGCGCGCAUCUCGCGUAUACGCGAUGAAAUAUCGGAAGUCGCGAGUGCGUGAAUUACGGGAGUGUUGUGUUUUGUAUUAUUUGUCGUCGUUGCCUGUCGAUUAACGCUAAAAUUAGUAAAAUUUAGCUCGAUUAAUCCUAAGUGCAGUGAAUAUCAUGGAACGCUGUGCAAUCAUCGCCACCCACAAUACAAGGUGCGGUUAAAUCUACAUCCACAAUUAAAUUUCUAUCGAAUUUACCGAAUUAUCGUAAUUGCUGAAAGAAUCUGGAAGGAUCAAGUGGUAACGCAUGAUAAAAUGAAGAAAUGAAAGGUUUGGACUGC